rnacentral:rRNA from 1 species
GACGAACCGUGCGAACGUUAUUUGGAAUCACUGGGCUUAAAGCGCGUGUAGGCGGGACGGCACGUCUGUCGCUGAAAUCCCCCGGCUUAACCGGGGAACUGGCGGAGAUACGACCGUCCUGGAGGGGCGUAGGGGGACCUGGAACUUCCGGUGGAGCGGUGAAAUGCGUUGAGAUCGGAAGGAACGCCCGUGGCGAAAGCGAGGUCCUGGACGCCUACUGACGCUGAGACGCGAAAGCCAGGGGAGCGAACGGG